rnacentral:rRNA from 1 species
AGGACGAACGCUGGCGGCGUGCUUAACACAUGCAAGUCGAGCGGUAAGGCCUUUCGGGGUACACGAGCGGCGAACGGGUGAGUAACACGUGGGUGAUCUGCCCUGCACUUCGGGAUAAGCCUGGGAAACUGGGUCUAAUACCGGAUAUGACCUCAGGUUGCAUGACUUGGGGUGGAAAGAUUUAUCGGUGCAGGAUGGGCCCGCGGCCUAUCAGCUUGUUGGUGGGGUAAUGGCCUACCAAGGCGACGACGGGUAGCCGACCUGAGAGGGUGACCGGCCACACUGGGACUGAGACACGGCCCAGACUCCUACGGGAGGCAGCAGUGGGAACAUUGCACAAUGGGACAAAGCCUGAUGCAGCGACGCCGCGUGAGGAUGGACGGCCGUUCGGGUUGUAAACCUCUUCAGCGAGGACGAGCGCAAGUGACGGUACUGACAGAAGAAGCACCGGCUAACGUACGUGCCACGCACGCCGC